UACGGAGGGUGCGAGCGUUGUCCGGAAUCACUGGGCGUAAAGGGCGCGUAGGCGGCAUGCCAAGCGUGUGGUGAAAGCCCGGGGCUUAACCCCGGGUCUGCCAUUCGAUACGGGCUAGCUAGAGUGUGGUAGGGGAGAUCGAAUUCCUGGUGUAGCGGUGAAAUGCGCAGAUAUCAGGAGGAACACCGGUGGCGAAGGCGGAUCUCUGGGCCAUUACUGACGCUGAGGAGCGAAAGCGUGGGGGAGCGAACAGG
rnacentral:rRNA from 1 species